rnacentral:rRNA from 1 species
UACGUAGGGGGCAAGCGUUGUCCGGAUUUAUUGGGCGUAAAGAGCGUGUAGGCGGCCAGGUAGGUCAGCUGUGAAAACUCGAGGCUCAACCUCGAGACGUCGGUUGAAACCAUCUGGCUAGAGUCCGGAAGAGGAGAGUGGAAUUCCCGGUGUAGCGGUGAAAUGCGCAGAUAUCGGGAAGAACACCCGUGGCGAAGGCGGCUCUCUGGGACGGUACUGACGCUGAGACGCGAAAGCGUGGGGAGCAAACAGG